GGUGAGUAAUGUGCUGGGAAACUGCCCGAUGGAGGGGGAUAACUACUGGAAACGGUAGCUAAUACCGCAUAACGUCGCAAGACCAAAGUGGGGGACCUUCGGGCCUCACACCAUCGGAUGUGCCCAGAUGGGAUUAGCUAGUAGGUGGGGUAACGGCUCACCUAGGCGACGAUCCCUAGCUGGUCUGAGAGGAUGACCAGCCACACUGGAACUGAGACACGGUCCAGACUCCUACGGGAGGCAGCAGUGGGGAAUAUUGCACAAUGGGCAGCAAGCCUGAUGCAGCCAUGCCGCGUGUAUGAAGAAGGCCUUCGGGUUGUAAAGUACUUUCAGCGGGGAGGAAGGCGAUGCGGUUAAUAACCGCGUCGAUUGACGUUACCCGCAGAAGAAGCACCGGCUAACUCCGUGCCAGCAGCCGCGGUAAUACGGAGGGUGCAAGCGUUAAUCGGAAUUACUGGGCGUAAAGCGCACGCAGGCGGUCUGUCAAGUCGGAUGUGAAAUCCCCGGGCUUAACCUGGGAACUGCAUUCGAAACUGGCAGGCUAGAGUCUUGUAGAGGGGGGUAGAAUUCCAGGUGUAGCGGUGAAAUGCGUAGAGAUCUGGAGGAAUACCGGUGGCGAAGGCGGCCCCCUGGACAAAGACUGACGCUCAGGUGCGAAAGCGUGGGGG
rnacentral:rRNA from 1 species